rnacentral:rRNA from 1 species
UGCUGUUUCGCUGACGAGUGGCGGACGGGUGAGUAAUGUCUGGGAAACUGCCUGAUGGAGGGGGAUAACUACUGGAAACGGUAGCUAAUACCGCAUAACGUCGCAAGACCAAAGAGGGGGACCUUCGGGCCUCUUGCCAUCGGAUGUGCCCAGAUGGGAUUAGCUAGUAGGUGGGGUAACGGCUCACCUAGGCGACGAUCCCUAGCUGGUCUGAGAGGAUGACCAGCCACACUGGAACUGAGACACGGUCCAGACUCCUACGGGAGGCAGCAGUGGGGAAUAUUGCACAAUGGGCGCAAGCCUGAUGCAGCCAUGCCGCGUGUAUGAAGAAGGCCUUCGGGUUGUAAAGUACUUUCAGCGGGGAGGAAGGGAGUAAAGUUAAUACCUUUACUCAUUGACGUUACCCGCAGAAGAAGCACCGGCUAACUCCGUGCCAGCAGCCGCGGUAAUACGGAGGGUGCAAGCGUUAAUCGGAAUUACUGGGCGUAAAGCGCACGCAGGCGGUUUGUUAAGUCAGAUGUGAAAUCCCCGGGCUCAACCUGGGAACUGCAUCUGAUACUGGCAAGCUUGAGUCUCGUAGAGGGGGGUAGAAUUCCAGGUGUAGCGGUGAAAUGCGUAGAGAUCUGGAGGAAUACCGGUGGCGAAGGCGGCCCCCUGGACGAAGACUGACGCUCAGGUGCGAAAGCGUGGGGAGCAAACAGGAU